AAAAAAAAAAAGAGAAAAGAAAAAAAAGAAAAAAAAGAAAAGAAAAAAAUGAACAAAAAAGAGAAAAAAGAGAAAAGAUAAAAAAAAAAAGAUAAAGAAAAGAGAAAAGAAAAAAAGAAAAUAGAAAUAAAAAAGAGGACAGAAAAAUAUGAAAAAAGAAAAAGAAAAAGAAAAGAAAAAAACAGUAGAUGAAAAAAGAAAAAACAAAAGGAAAAACGAAUAAUGACAAGAGAAGAAAGGUAAAGAGAAAAGAAGAAAAAAGCCAAGUCAAAAAGUAAAGAAUAACUCGAAGGAAGGAGUGGAUGGCAAGAAAUACAGAGAAAGCAGUGCAUAGCACAGCAGAGCAAAGCAAGGCAAAAUAGCAGCCAAAGCCACGAGAAUCAAGAAGUCAGUGAAGAGCAGGAAAGGAAUGGAGGAAUCUGUCCAGAGCUGUGCCCCUGCUUGCCACAGGAGCUGCGCGGGAGGAGAAGAACGUGGGCCAAAAGGAGCUGCGCGGGAGGAGAAGAACGUGGGCCAAAAGGAAUGGAGGAAUCUGUCCAGAGCUGUGCCCCUGCUUGCCACAGGAGCUGCGCGGGAGGAGAAGAACGUGGGCCAAAAGAUUUGUUUUGCUUGCAGGUGUUCCACUUUGGCUUUGUAUGACACAGUGGACGAGAGGGGACGGCGUUCAGUGGAACAAACGCUGCAGACCCUGGGAGAAUCAAAGCAGGAGAGAGGAAACGUGCCCUUUGCAGCAGGGGCCGUUGUGCUGGCAUUGCCCAUCGCAUCCACUGCUGCUGUGGUCCUUUCUUUCCUUUGGGCAGUUUGCUGUCUCUCACGGG
ensembl:lncRNA